rnacentral:rRNA from 1 species
GAAGGUGGGGACGACGUCAAGUCAUCAUGGCCCUUACGAGUAGGGCUACACACGUGCUACAAUGGCGAGUACAGAGGGAUGCAAACCUGCGAAGGUAAGCGGACCCCUUAAAGCUCGUCGUAGUCCGGAUUGGAGUCUGCAACUCGACUCCAUGAAGUCGGAAUCGCUAGUAAUCGCGGAUCAGAAUGCCGCGGUGAAUACGUUCCCGGGCCUUGUACACACCGCCCGUCACACCAUGGGAGUUGGUUCUACCUGACGGCCGUGCGCUAACCUUCGGGAGGCAGCGGACCACGGUAGGAUCAGCGACUGGGG